GAAAAAAGUAGUAUCCCAGUAUAAUUGGUAAACGCAUAAAUAUAAUUUCAUCAAAGAAUAAAAAAUAGAACUAUUAAGGAAACAGUAAAAAUGUUUGUGGUUGCUAGUAAUCAUAGAAUGUAAAUUAAGACAAAAUAACUUAUUUUUACAUUCAAAUUAAUUAAAGGAUAUGAUCUCAAAAAUGUCAUGAAAAUGGUGCUUUUAUAUCUUGCAGGUGGGAAGACAAAUUGAUGCAACCCUCUUGAAAAGCAAUCUGGCAAUAUGAACCAAGAGCCAUGAAAAGGCUUAUGCUAUUAUAAUUAGUAAGUCAAUUUAUAGAAAUUUGUUUUUUAAAAGUAAAGUAAAAUAAGAGAAAACCCUUGCUGGGAAAGAUGUUCAUUGCAAUAUUGCCUACAACAGGAAAAAUAUUGGAAGAAAAAAAUCUAACAAAUUGAUAAAAUCAUAUUAGGUAAAUUAGGGUGGACCUCUGUGGUAGAAAAUUAUGCAACUGAUAGAAAUGAUAAUAAUAAAAAUCACAUAGCAACAUAGAAAUGCCUUAAUUAGAAUCUUAAGUGGAAAAUGAGCAUAUGAAAUAGAAUGCAGGCUAUUGUCAUUACAUACAAUUAUGUAGAGAAGACUGAAAGGAAACAUUUCAAAGGUUUGUAAGUUAUUUAAAGAUAGUGGGAUUACAGAUUUUUUUUUUUUUUUACUUUCCAUAUAUAUUCUUCAAUGUUGUUAUAAUGAUUUAACAAUGAAAAUGUAAUUGAUAGUGUAUUAUUGCUAUUUCCUUAAUUCCAGAAUGGCUGUAAUGUUGGCUGUAAAUAUGAAAUUUUCUUUCACACACCAGUAUUUUCAAGAAUGGCAUAUUCACAUGCAGUAUGUGAUGAAAGAAGCAGUAGAGGAUGUUAACAAAGCUAUUUCUUUGGACAAUCUGAACCUGAACUCCUGAGUGUGCUCAAGAGUGAAUUGCUUUGGAAUGGGAGGAAUUCAAGCCCAGCUUCCCUGAAGACUGCCACUGGGGAGCAGCAGAUUUCACACAGCGGAAAGCCUUUGAACUUCUUGCAGGAAAGAUAGUAUAUCUCAGUUAAGAGAUGUAUGUUUGGAGAAAAUCAUAGUCCUUGCUUUUUCCCAUGCAGAUGGAUUUUUAUCUGAAUACUGAUGUGUUUGUCACCAAACAGAAAAUAAACCAUGAGACACUUAACUAAAAGACAAAAGUUUGAAAGGAAAUAAGCUUCACAAUUACUCAAGAUGGAAUCCAUUCUACAAUUUUUUUUCCUACAACAUCUGUUUUACAUUUCCCGAUUAGCAAUACUUUCAUGAGAAUUUAGCAGAUGAAAUGAAAGUAUAUAGAAUUAGUCCAUUUUCACACUGCUGAUAGAGACAUACCUGAAACUGGGCAAUUUACAAAAGAAAGAGAUUUAAUUGGACUCAUAGUUCCACAUGGCUGGGGAGGCCUCAAUCAUGGUGGAAGGUAAGGAGGAACAAGUCACAUCUUACGUGGAUGGCAGCAGGCAAAAAGGGCUUGUGCAGGGAAAUUCCCAUUUUUAAAACCAUCAGAUCUUGUGAGACUCCUUCACUAUCAUGAGAACAGCACAGGAAAGACCCACUCCUAUGAUUCAGUCAUCUCCCACUGGGUCCCUCCACAACACGUGGGAAUUAUGGGAGCUACGAGAUGAGAUUUGGGUGGGGACCCAGAGCCAAACCAUAUCAUAUAUGUAGAUAUGAAGAUAAAUAUUCUGG
rnacentral:lncRNA from 1 species